rnacentral:rRNA from 1 species
UACGUAGGGGGCUAGCGUUGUCCGGAUUUAUUGGGCGUAAAGAGCGUGUAGGCGGCCAGGUAGGUCUGCUGUGAAAACUCGAGGCUCAACCUCGAGACGUCGGCGGAAACCAUCUGGCUAGAGUCCGGAAGAGGAGAGUGGAAUUCCUGGUGUAGCGGUGAAAUGCGCAGAUAUCAGGAAGAACACCCGUGGCGAAGGCGGCUCUCUGGAACGGUACUGACGCUGAGACGCGAAAGCGUGGGGAGCGAACAGG